UACGUAGGGACCGAGCGUUGUCCGGAAUCAUUGGGCGUAAAGAGCGUGUAGGCGGCCUGAAAGGUCAGCUGUGAAAACUCGAGGCUUAACCUCGAGACGUCGGUUGAAACCAUCUGGCUAGAGUCCGGAAGAGGAGUGUGGAAUUCCCGGUGUAGCGGUGGAAUGCGCAGAUAUCAGGAGGAACACCAAUAGCGAAGGCAGCUCGCUGGGACGGUACUGACGCUAAGGCGCGAAAGCGUGGGGAGCGAACAGG
rnacentral:rRNA from 1 species